GACGAACGCUGGCGGCGUGCUUAACACAUGCAAGUCGAACGGUAAGGCCCUUCGGGGUACACGAGUGGCGAACGGGUGAGUAACACGUGGGUGAUCUGCCCUGCACUUCGGGAUAAGCCUGGGAAACUGGGUCUAAUACCGGAUAGGACCCUGGGAUGCAUGUCCUGGGGUGGAAAGCCUUUGCGGUGUGGGAUGGGCCCGCGGCCUAGCAGCUUGUUGGGGGGAGGAUGGCAUACCAAGGCGAAGAGUGGUAGACGGCCUGAGAGGGUGAGCGGGCCAGAGGGGGACUGAGAUACGGCCCAGGCGCCUACGGGAGGCAGCGGUGGGGAAUCUUGCACCAUGGGCGCAAGCCUGAUGCAGCGACGCCGCGGGAGGGAUGACGGCCUUCGGGUUGUAAACCUCUUUCAGCACCGACGAAGCGCAAGUGACGGUAGGUGCAGAAGAAGGACCGGCCAACUACGUGCCAGCCGCCGCCGUAA
rnacentral:rRNA from 1 species